GGGGGCGAAAGGCUUCGACGGGGGCAAGGGGCUGUGGAAUGCGUGCCGAGGUUGUUCAUCUCCCUCGUUAAACCGGUGGACACACAACGUAACUGCGGACUCGCAGCUUGCGCUCGCGGCCUAACUAGGCUCGCGACGUUCGUCCCUUCCAGCCUACGGGUUGGGAACGAACGCCAUUCAGUAGGCUGGUCCUGACACGCGCCCGGCGAGGUUUGGGACGAGACACACUCGGGCUGGCUGCCGGCGCAUUCGCCGUUCUUUGUUGCCGGCAGUGAGAUAUCAAGGACGGAUACGCACGUAGAGUUCUGCAGCGACAGGCCUUUCGGACGCGGGUUCGACUCCCGCCGCCUCCACCA
rnacentral:tmRNA from 1 species